GUCGAUGUGGCGGAAUUGGUAUACGCGCAGCGUUGAGGUCGCUGUGGGAGUUAUCCCAUGAGAGUUCAAAUCUCUCCAUCGACACCA
rnacentral:tRNA from 1 species